rnacentral:rRNA from 1 species
CGGGAAACCGGAGCUAAUACGGAUAAUAUAUUGAACCGCAUGGUUCAAUAGUGAAAGACGGUUUUGCUGUCACUUAUAGAUGGAUCCGCGCCGCAUUAGCUAGUUGGUAAGGUAACGGCUUACCAAGGCAGCGAUGCGUAGCCGACCUGAGAGGGUGAUCGGCCACACUGGAACUGAGACACGGUCCAGACUCCUACGGGAGGCAGCAGUA